AGUGAACGCUGGCGGUAGGCCUAACACAUGCAAGUCGAACGGCAGCACAGUAAGAGCUUGCUCUUACGGGUGGCGAGUGGCGGACGGGUGAGGAAUACAUCGGAAUCUACUUUUUCGUGGGGGAUAACGUAGGGAAACUUACGCUAAUACCGCAUACGACCUACGGGUGAAAGCAGGGGAUCUUCGGACCUUGCGCGAUUGAAUGAGCCGAUGUCGGAUUAGCUAGUUGGCGGGGUAAAGGCCCACCAAGGCGACGAUCCGUAGCUGGUCUGAGAGGAUGAUAGGCCACACUGGAACUGAGACACGGUCCAGACGCCUGCGGGAGGCAGCAGUGGGGAAUAUUGGACAAUGGGCGCAAGCCUGGUCCAGCCAUACCGCGUGGGUGAAGAAGGCCUUCGGGUUGUAAAGCCCUUUUGUUGGGAAAGAAAAGCAGCAGGUUAAUACCCCGCUGUUCUGACGGUACCCAAAGAAUAAGCACCGGCUAACUUCGUG
rnacentral:rRNA from 1 species